AGCUUUGCGCAGUGGCAGUAUCGUAGCCAAUGAGGUUAAUCCGAGGCGCGAUUAUUGCUAGUUGAAAACUUUACCCAAUACCCCGCCAUGACGACUUGAAAUACAGUCGGCACUGGCAAUUUUUGAGGGCUUCCACGGAGG
rnacentral:snRNA from 1 species